rnacentral:snRNA from 10 species
AUAUUUACCUGGCAGGGGAGAUACCAUGAUCACGAAGGUGGUUUUUCCAGGGCCAGACUUAUCUAUUGCAUUCCGGAUGUGCCGACCCCUGCGAUUUCCCCAAAUGUGGGAAACUCGACUGCAUAAUUUGUGGUAGUGGGGGACUGCGUUCGCGCUUUCUCUUG